ensembl:lncRNA
UCUCCCAUCUUGCAAUGGGAGGGGAAGCCCAUUCAGCACAUGGGCUAUCCAAGAUACAUUUCACUGGUGCACAUCAGCAAUACAUACACACAGGUAAGAGUAUAGAUAUAAAUAGAGAGUUGUGUCCAUGUAAUUCAUGAUGGUAACAGACCUCUUUCAAACAACAGGACCGACGUUUGCAGGAACCUCAGGAGCGUUUGCUUGUGCUCUUCCCAUGUGACCUCCUCAUUCUGUCUCUCGACUGUCGUCAUGUACGUGUGAAAUAUGAGGGUCGUCUGCCACUUAAGAGCAUUAAAGCCAUGGAAAGAUCUGCACUACCUGGCAGACUGGAGUUUGAACUCACAGGUGAACUGAUGGAGCCUCUGCUUGUCUCCUGUACGUCCCCUGAGGACUAUCAAAGCUGGAUCUUCCAGUUACAACAGGCAAGUGUGCAGUUGUUGUAUUUUAGCUAAUGAUCAUCAUAGCAAAACAAGCAACUUCAGUGUAAAUAGUCAUACAUCCUAAACAUACUGAUACAAUACAUUUGAAGAUUUUUUUUUCUCCAUCUGCCACAGCCUGAUAAAGUGGCAGAUUCAUUGCCACAUCAUACCCCUCCACCUCUGAUACCGAAGAAGCGCAGAAGCUGAGGAUGAUGUGACGGAUGGAAAUUAAAAUGGCUGUGAACUCCAUAUAUUGUGCCCAAUGAAAGCUGCUGAUUACAAAUUAACAUUUUACUGUUGCAUUUUACUCCUAAGUAACAAAUCUCUUCACUGCUUGUGAGGAAGGAUUUUCAAUAGCUAGGAAAUUUGCAGGUUUAGAUAGUAAUUAUUACAGUCUGCUCCAUAAAUAUCUGUUUUGAGGUAGGGAACAGGCCUCACAUGUAUACAUACAGUAAGUACAAUGUAUAAAAUGAAUACAAAUGUUUAAAUGUGAUGUAAUAAACUGUUUUAAUUAGUAUUUAAUUCCA